CACUUAUCCAGAAAGGCGGAGGGUCUGGCCCUACGAUGCCUUAGCAACCUUUCCUGAAUUGCAAGUCAGGAAAAAGGUGCUAAUUCCUGCCCCGGUGUACCGGGGAAAGAUAAGUU
rnacentral:ncRNA from 1 species